AAUGCCUAAAACUAAAGUGUCACUAGUGUCUGUCACUUUUUUUUAUACAGAGAAAUGGUAUUGAAGCCAGUGAUCUUAAGAAUGCAACAAGGGACAUAGUGUUCUCUAACAAUUUGUGCAGGACAUCCUCAGUCUUAUUUCCUUCUCCAUCCUUUAUGUAUCAAGGCUUUUUGAUUCUUGAGAUGUUGGUCCUCCCUCAUCCAGCACCUAAUCUUUCCCAAAUGAGGGAGUUUCCUGGACCAGGGAUGGUCAAUUCCAGCCCCUCUGCUGUUGGCCUUUGGGUUCUUCCUGGGGUCCGCCAGCCUCCCAGUUAGGCUCCUCUCACGGCUCCUGGCCCUCCUGCUGGACCUGGCCACCAGGCUCCGCUGCCACUGGAACAGCUGCACUGCUAGCCCCUCAACCAUUGGAUCAGCUUUGCUUCCAGAUCCUCCGCCACUAGACUCCCAGCUGGCUCUUGCUCCUAGUUGUUGGGGCUCUCUGGUUCAGCAACUUCUGUGGUCUUACUAGAGCAUGGAUUUUGCUGGACUAGAGAGCUUCAAUGUGUAAAGCACAGACCAAAUUGCUGCAUACAUCUGUUGAGUAUAAAUGUUGAUCUCCAUAUCUUUCAGCUGGUUGCAUUUUUGACUAUGGUCAUCAAAAGAGAUUCCUUCAGGAUCUAAUGCUACAACAGACUAUCGUUCCAGCUCUGUUUCACAUCACAGCAACAAAGAAGUGAGUGGCCUGAUUUUCAAAGGCUCUGAGCAAUGCAGCUCCCAUUGUCUUCAUUGGAACCUGCAGUUGGACAGCAUCUGUGUAAUUCAGCCUAACUUCAGUGCUGCGGUAGCUUUGAAAUCUCUGGCUGAAGAAUGGAAGAGAGAUGGAGAGUGCUGCGGGGAAAGUGUCAACAACUGGUUCCAGCACACUGCAGAGAGAAAUAAGUUCCAAGCUAGAAGCUGCUUUCUACACAGAUCAUAAAUACUGAGGAUUUUCUUCAGGGACUGGCCUAAACACUGAGCCAAGCUUCAAAAUGAGACUCUGGAAAGGAAUAAAUCUGAACAGAUUAUCAGCUGUUUCAAAGUGGACCUGUUCAACAGGGCAGAAGAGAAGGACAUGCUACCCCACACAGAUUCUGGACAAACAACGGAGCAGAGAUUUCACAGUUCCAGAUUAACUUAAUUGCUGAAGAGACUUGAAGGCCCUUCUUGCUUAGUGGGACUCCCUGCCAAGGAGAGGGAUUGCCUGUGUGAGAGAAUGCCAUGACACCAUUUGGAAGGAGUAUCCCAAGUCCCCAGUAGGAUAAUUUCCCUCUGCUCCAGCUUGAUGUUCUCAUUCUCCAAGACCUUCCUCCUCCUCAGCAGCACAGAAGCUGCCAGACUGAGAUGGGAACCAUGUGCCCAGAAAGUUUCAUCCAUGUAUCUCUGUCUCCCUUCCCACCUCCUGGUCAGCCACUCUGGUUUCAAGAAUCCACACUCCAUCUCUGAGGACCAUGAGUUGCUUGCACCCAUGAGGUAGAUAAUCCCAUGCUGUAUACUGCAUGCAGUGCAAUAAACUGCAUAGCCCCCACUCUGUUGCUGGACUUCUGCAUGUACUAUUUUUAUUCUUGUAGGGACUUCUUAUUUGUGUAAUUUUUUUCUUUAGGGGAAGGUUUAGUGGCUCAAGUGGUCCAGGUAAGAGAAUAUUUCUUAGAUCUUGCAGGCCCUCUAAAUGUCUUCACAAAACUCCCCAGUUUGUAGAUCCUCUGAUCACGUAUGAACUUUUUUUUUUUUAACCGUUGGUUGUCCCUAAAUUAGUCUCACCUCCCUUGGCAAGAGAUUCUAAAGGGAUUAGAGUUCAAAGGAUGACAGGCUAGAGCCUCCUUAGGCAGCACUUAGCCUUGCCCAGUUGGCCACUGAGCUCAGUGCACAGUCUCCGCCCCACCCAAAACAGACCACACUAGAAACUUCACUCAGGAAGAUGGCCAGCAAACCAGCUCACAACAAACAAAACAAAACAAACUCACUCACUAAGGGAUAGUGCCUUCACCAGGAGAAAUGCCUUUCAAAACUCCCCUGCUUUUGCAUUAUCUUACUUAUUGCAGGACAGUAGUUCUCCCUGGUUGUGCAUAUUGUUAGGACCUCACAAAGCACAUCAGGAAUUAGGAUGAAAUAUGGAUGUCUGUGUGUAUCUGUAGGCUCCCAAGCUUGAAAAUUUUGAACGAUGGGGUACAUUUUUAAAGGGUUGAGGCUUUCCUUUUUGAUCUGGACAAGUUGUGCCAGUAAAAUAUCAACUGAGUAUGAAAAUCGGUGUACUUGCACAUUUCACUGUCUGAGUUUCAGCAUCUGUUAGAUGCACACGUAUUCAGAAUUGCACUGGGAGGUAAGUUGUGGGUAUAAACCAGAGGCGAGGAAUCUUUUUGGGCCAGGAGCCGCUGAUCCACAGAAAAAUCAGUUGGGGACCGCACACUAGUGAGAAACAAAAAAAUUCAAAAGCAGAUCCUCACUGAUCUGGCCCCCGACUGAGGAGAAAGACACUCCUCACAUUCCCCUCAUAUACCAGAGCCAAGGGGGCCCAGGCUACUAGAUUUUGUGUGAUCGAGCUCCGUGGGAGGAUGUGGUGGGGGGAGGGGAGAGCACUAGUGUGGGCUCCUCAAUGCGGGGGGAGAGCCCCAAGCCUGGGGGACGGGAUCCAGGCAAGCCGGGGGCCAUAUCCAGCCCCCGGGCCUUAGGUUCCCUACUUCUGGUAUAAACUAUUCCUGCCAUGCUCUGGUGAAUGCACUGGUGGGAUGAAUUUUGUGCGUGUAAAUUGGGUCCUCCAAAAAAUUGCAGCUGUUGUAAAAUUUUCUAAUAAAUAGAACUUUCCUGGAAUUAGAUUAGCAUAUAAUUGUCUUUCUCCAUAUUGUUUGCCUUGCAUCAUCUCUUUUGCGUGACAUGUUUACUUUGUCUCAUCUCUUGUGUGGCAUGUUUACAUUUUACUGUGUCUCAAAAAUUUGUCUGCUGGGCUGGAUGAUUCAUGUUUUUGUUGGAUCUUUUAGCUCAAUUUACUGUUUUAUUACUGUGUGUUUUUGAGUUUUAAUUGAGAGGUUUAUACACUGACCUUCCUGCUUUAAAAUUAUAACUUUUAGUGCAUAAUAUUUUGAAAAAUGAGUCAAAUGCUUCUGUAACUCAGGCUAAUAUAUUGAGGAAUUUAGCACGCAGGCAUUGGGCUUGAUUUUUCAUUAUGUUGACUGGUUUUGUGAUGCUGCAGCUCCACUGAUAACAAUGGAGAUUUGCUGGAAUAUAAUUGGUGUAGCAAGAAUGGAAAAUUAGUCCCUUAAUUGAUGCACUUCAGUAGGAUAUAAGAUCUCUCUCAAAUAUGCUAGUUUGGGCAUAAUUAAAACAUGGUCACAAAGCGUUUUGUGAUCCAGGUCCUUAACUGAUGUAAAUUGGCAUAGCUCCCAUGCAGGUUACAUUGAUUUUCCACAACAGGGGAUCUGGCCCUGUGUAUUUUCAUAUUUACACACAAUAGAUUAACAGAAGAAUUUGCAGAAGUCCCUGUAUGCAACUGAAUUGCACACUAGUCAGUUCAUGUUAUUGAUCAUAGAGCAAUUAUUUUAACAACUCGAUCCUUUUAAACAAGGUGUUAAUUGAUAUCAGCAAAAUAUAAUGGAUAAACUAGAUUUGAUAGCAUGGAAGGAGACUCUGGAUUCUUUACAACAAUAAAGAAAAUACUAGGAAGAAGCAAACCAGACCAAACUAGAUAAAUACAAAAGACAUGAUUGAUUAAAGGGGUAAUCAUGUGUGCCAACAGCUUUUGUUUCAAAGCAGAGACAAAUGAGCUUCUUCCUACAUGGUCUUUUGAAGAAAGAACUCCAUCUCCCAUAGCAAGUUUACCAACAAAGUGAGUCUCUUCACACAUCCUCAGAGGAAUAUUUCUCUUUCUUUUUAAACUAAUUGUGGGUAAACAUAGUGCUUAGCCAAAGUAAAGGGAUAAUAGUGUUUUCUGUAGCCAGGCAUUGCGUGGGCAGAUGUUGCACAAGACAUCCUCACAUAAGGCUGCCAAGGACCUCUGGUCUGACCUGCAAGGAGGUAUGCCUUUCUCAUCCCAGGCUCCUUGUGAUCAGAGAUGGUGAGCUGUGCUGAAAUUGCAUGGUAGUUCACGAAGGAGACAAGUGGGGACUAGAAUGAGAGCAACACAUUUUGAAUUAAAUUCCACAGAACUAAAGGUGUGAGCUAUGGAAAGGACAGGGAGAGGCGGCUUGUGGUUAAGGGCCCAGUUCAGUUCCUCAGAUUUUCCAGAUAACUUCAGACAAGCUAUCUAUUCUCUCUGUGUAGGUCAGGAAAUUAGGUCGUAGGUGGGCGAGCCAAGUGGUCAGAGCAGAAGUCAGAGCUGGAUUAUGAGAAUUUAGGGGAGGCAGAAGGAAGACUGGACAAAGACUAGGGUGCAGGGCAGGGUGUAUCAGGGCUGUUCCCGCCAGUGUUGAUCCCCUAUGCAGCCCUGUAUCGACACCCCUCCCCCAGGGGAGUGGCCACUCUGCAGGGGUAGAAGCUGUGUGGGGAUCGGGGUGGUCCACUCUCCCAGACUACAUAGACCAGUUUCCAUUUGCUGCAAUGGAGCCCAGUCUGGGAGAGUUGGCCACUCAGGAGCAGGGCAGGGAGAGGAGCUGAGCUGCAGCUUCAGAGAAGCAGGUGGAAGGUACGGGCAGGGAGUGGUGCGAGCACAGGCUGGAGAACUCAGGAGGAGCAGGGGGCAGCCGAGCUGCCAGCUGAAGAGAAGUGGUCCUUGGAAGGGGAAGCUGAUGCUUCUCUCCAGCUGUCUGCUGCAUGGCUGCCCCUGCUCUGCUUGCAUCCUCUGUGCCUCCCUCACACUGCUCUCUGCCACCUGGUGAGCGGGGGCUGGGCGCAGCCUGCAGGGCACCUCAGUCAUGGAGAUGGGCCACGGGAGCCAGUACAGAGCCCACAAAGGAGGGGAAGUGGCCAGGAACUGCC